rnacentral:rRNA from 1 species
AUUGAACGCUGGCGGCAGGCCUAACACAUGCAAGUCGAGCGGAUGAAGGGAGCUUGCUCCUGGAUUCAGCGGCGGACGGGUGAGUAAUGCCUAGGAAUCUGCCUGGUAGUGGGGGAUAACGUCCGGAAACGGGCGCUAAUACCGCAUACGUCCUGAGGGAGAAAGUGGGGGAUCUUCGGGCCUCACGCUAUCAGAUGAGCCUAGGUCGGAUUAGCUAGUUGGUGGGGUAAAGGCCUACCAAGGCGACGAUCCGUAACUGGUCUGAGAGGAUGAUCAGUCACACUGGAACUGAGACACGGUCCAGACGCCUACGGGAGGCAGCAGUGGGGAAUAUUGGACAAUGGGCGAAAGCCUGAUCCAGCCAUGCCGCGUGUGUGAAGAAGGUCUUCGGAUUGUAAAGCACGUUAAGUUGGGAGGAAGGGCAGUAAGUUAAUACCUUGCUGGUGUGACGGUACCAACAGAAUAAGCACCGGCUAACUUCGUG